rnacentral:rRNA from 1 species
GCUUGUCUCAAAGAUUAAGCCAUGCAUGUCUAAGUAUAAGCGUUUAUACAGUGAAACUGCGAAUGGCUCAUUAUAUCAGUUAUCAUUUACUUGAUGAUACUUUACCACUUGGAUAACCGUGGUAAUUCUAGAGCUAAUACAUGCCUUCAAGGCCGCCUUGUUUGGCGGCCUGCAUUUAUUAGAUCCAAACCAAUGCCAGCAAUGGCUCCUGGUGAUUCAUAAUAACUUGGCGGAUCGCAUGACCUUGCGUCGGCGACGUAUCAAUCAAAUUUCUGCCCUAUCAAGUCUCGAUGGUAGGAUAGAGGCCUACCAUGCUAGUUACGGGUAACGGGGAAUAAGGGUUCGAUUCCGGAGAGGGCGCCUGAGAAAUGGCGACCACAUCCAAGGAAGGCAGCAGG